AGAGUUUGAUCAUGGCUCAGGACGAACGCUGGCGGCGUGCUUAACACAUGCAAGUCGAACGGAAAGGCCCUUCGGGGUACUCGAGUGGCGAACGGGUGAGUAACACGUGGGUGAUCUGCCCUGCACUUUGGGAUAAGCCUGGGAAACUGGGUCUAAUACCGAAUAGGACCACGCGCUUCAUGGUGUGUGGUGGAAAGCUUUUGCGGUGUGGGAUGGGCCCGCGGCCUAUCAGCUUGUUGGUGGGGUAAUGGCCUACCAAGGCGACGACGGGUAGCCGGCCCGAGAGGGUGACCGGCCACACUGGGACUGAGAUACGGCCCAGACUCCUACGGGAGGCAGCAGUGGGGAAUAUUGCACAAUGGGCGCAAGCCUGAUGCAGCGACGCCGCGUGAGGGAUGACGGCCUUCGGGUUGUAAACCUCUUUCAAUAGGGACGAAGCGCAAGUGACGGUACCUAUAGAAGAAGCACCGGCCAACUACGUGCCAGCAGCCGCGGUAAUACGUAGGGUGCGAGCGUUGUCCGGAAUUACUGGGCGUAAAGAGCUCGUAGGUGGUUUGUCGCGUUGUUCGUGAAAACUCACAGCUUAACUGUGGGCGUGCGGGCGAUACGGGCAGACUAGAGUACUGCAGGGGAGACUGGAAUUCCUGGUGUAGCGGUGGAAUGCGCAGAUAUCAGGAGGAACACCGGUGGCGAAGGCGGGUCUCUGGGCAGUAACUGACGCUGAGGAGCGAAAGCGUGGGGAGCGAACAGGAUUAGAUACCCUGGUAGUCCAA
rnacentral:rRNA from 1 species